GGUCAACGGUUGGCUAGCUUUUCUUCGCUUGGAUUAUUUUCGUUGGUGCAGCUAAAAUGGGCAAAGUACUGGCGAUAUUGUGUCUAAAAUCUGGCCAAAAAAGUCUUCCCAGAAAUGAUCAGGCAUUUGUCUAAAAACUGGCCUGACAACAUAACCAUUGCCAUAAGCCAAGAAAAUCUACAACAAAUGUAUCUCUGCAGUACACUGGACAUUUGGCAUAAUGAGGAAUGAGAUCUGUCUACAGUAGGAGCAGAAGGGACGUUUGGACCUACUGCCAGCAUGCUGUAACAGACAGAUGGGUUUUCACACAAACAACAGAAAACAUCAAGAGCAGUCAGGCUGGCACACACAGAAGAAGAAUCAGCAAAGGGGAGAAAGUCUGGAUAAUGAGGCACUGCUAGCAGGAGAUGAUAAUUCACUUUGUGCUGUAAGACAAACUGUCCACUCCGUUUAUAGAGUUCAACUCCGUCGUUGCAAAAGUCAUAUGGAUAUUUGGUACGCAAACUGAUCUGACUGCAGUGAAACAUAAUAACCAGCAGAUGGCAGGCAAACAUCAGAAUCCUUUUGAUAUGAAGGCAUCAGAACCGCAUAUCAAUUAAGUUUUGCAAGCAAAAGACGAUACCAAGUAAGUACUGACAUCCAAAUAUGC
rnacentral:lncRNA from 1 species